UUCUUGCGCGCCCCCGACUA
rnacentral:misc_RNA from 1 species